rnacentral:rRNA from 1 species
GACGAACCGUGCGAACGUUGUUCGGAAUCACUGGCUUAAAGGGCGCGUAGGCGGCUCGCCAAGUCAGGGGUGAAAUCCUCCAGCUCAACUGGAGAAGUGCCUUUGAUACUGGUGAGCUCGAGCGAGGUAGGGGCGGGUGGAACUUCCGGGUGGAGCGGUGAAAUGCGUUGAUAUCGGAAGGAACGCCGGGUGGCGAAAGCGACCCGCUGGACCUCUUCUGACGCUGAGGCGCGAAAGCUAGGGUAGCGGAACGGG